rnacentral:rRNA from 1 species
AUUGACCGCUGGCGGCAGGCCUAACACAUGCACGUCGAGCGGAGCGGCGGACGGGUGAGUAAUGCCUAGGAAUCUGCCUGGUAGUGGGGGAUAACGUCCGGAAACGGGCGCUAAUACCGCAUACUAUCAGAUGAGCCUAGGUCGGAUUAGUUAGUUGGUGGGGUAAAGGCCUACAAAGGCGACGAUCCGUAACUGGCCUGAGAUGAUGAUCAGUCAAACUGGAACGGAGACACGGUCCAGACGCGUACGUGAGGCAGCAGUGGGGAAUAUUGGACAAGGGGCGAAAGCCUGAUCCAGCCAUGCCGCGUGUGUGAAGAAGGUCUUCGGAUUGUAAAGCACUUUAAGUUGUGAGGCGUUACCAACAGAAUAAGCACCGGCUAACUUCGUGCCAGCCGCCGCGGUAAUAC